AAACCGUGUAGAGUUCUUAGUGUAGGACAUAGUACAAAAGUAUACUGUUAUCUCCCAGGGCACCCAGUGCAAGGCUCUUUAUCUCAUCACACUUGGGUGUACCUGGUUACCCUCAGUGACCCUCAUUACUGCCAGAUAUAUGUUGUUUACAUUACCCCUGCCUGCUGUUCCUUUCCCUCACUAAGGCUGAUUCUCAAGAGGGAAUUCAAGAGAGAAGGGCAGUUUAACACUGUUCUUUUCUGUCCUCCUUGGUCACUCAGGCCUCAGGUACUUCUGCCCUCCCUUUGGUCUCCCUGUUCUUCUAUGUGGUGACAGAUGGCAAGGAAGUCCUACUACCAGAGGUUGGGGCCAAGGGGCAGUUGAAGUUCAUCAGUGGGCACACCAGUGAACUUGGUGACUUCCGCUUUACACUUCUGCCACCAACCAGUCCAGGGGAUACGGCCCCCAAGUAUGGCAGCUACAAUGUCUUCUGGACCUCCAACCCAGGACUGCCCCUGCUGACAGAGAUGGUAAAGAGUCGCCUAAAUAGCUGGUUUCAGCAUCGGCCCCCAGGGGCCUCCCCUGAACGCUACCUCGGCUUGCCAGGAUCUCUGAAGUGGGAGGACAGAGGUCCAAGUGGGCAAGGGCAGGGGCAGUUCUUGAUACAGCAGGUGACCCUGAAAAUUCCCAUUUCCAUAGAGUUUGUGUUUGAAUCAGGCAGUGCCCAGGCAGGAGGAAAUCAAGCCCUGCCAAGACUGGCAGGCAGUCUACUGACCCAGGCCCUAGAGAGCCAUGCUGAAUCCUUUAGAGAGCGCUUUGAGAAGACCUUCCAGCUGAAGGAGAAGGGCCUGAGCUCUGGCGAGCAGGUUUUGGGUCAGGCUGCCCUCAGCAGCCUCCUUGGUGGAAUUGGCUACUUCUACGGACAAGGGCUGGUAUUGCCAGACAUGGGGGUGGAAGAGUCUGAGCAGAAGGUGGACCCAGCCCUCUUUCCACCCGUACCUCUUUUUACAGCGGUGCCCUCCCGGUCAUUCUUCCCACGAGGCUUCCUUUGGGAUGAAGGCUUUCACCAGCUGGUGGUUCAGCGGUGGGAUCCCUCCCUCACCCGGGAAGCCCUUGGCCACUGGCUGGGGCUGCUAAAUGCUGAUGGCUGGAUUGGGAGGGAGCAGAUACUGGGGGAUGAGGCCCGAGCCCGGGUACCUCCAGAAUUCCUAGUACAACGAGCAGUCCACGCCAACCCCCCAACCCUACUUUUGCCUGUAGCCCAUAUGCUAGAGGUUGGUGACCCUGAUGACUUGGCCUUCCUCCGAAAGGCCUUCCCCCGCCUGCAUGCCUGGUUUUCCUGGCUCCAUCAGAGCCAGGCAGGCCCAUUGCCGCUAUCUUACCGCUGGCGGGGACGGGACCCUGCCUUACCAACCUUACUGAACCCCAAGACCCUACCCUCUGGGUUGGAUGACUACCCCCGGGCUUCACACCCUUCAGUAACCGAGCGGCACCUGGACCUGCGAUGUUGGGUGGCACUGGGUGCCCGUGUGCUGACGCGGCUGGCAGAGCAUCUGGGAGAGGCUGAGGUAGCUGCUGAGCUAGGCCCACUGGCUGCCUCAUUGGAGGCAGCAGAGAGCCUGGAUGAGCUGCACUGGGCCCCAGAGCUAGGAGUCUUUGCAGACUUUGGGAACCACACAAAAGCAGUACAGCUGAAGCCCAGGCCCCCUCAGGGGCUAGUUCGGGUGGUGGGUCGGCCCCAACCUCAACUGCAGUAUGUAGAUGCCCUUGGCUAUGUCAGUCUUUUUCCCUUGCUGCUGCGACUGCUGGACCCCAACUCAUCCCGCCUUGGGCCCCUGCUGGACAUUCUAGCUGACAGCCGCCAUCUCUGGAGCCCCUUUGGUUUACGCUCCCUUGCAGCCUCCAGCUCCUUUUAUGGCCAGCGCAAUUCAGAGCAUGAUCCCCCCUACUGGCGGGGUGCUGUGUGGCUCAAUGUCAACUACCUGGCUUUGGGAGCACUCCACCACUAUGGGCAUCUGGAGGGUCCUCACCAGGCUCGGGCUGCCAAACUCCACAGUGAGCUCCGUGCCAAUGUGGUAGGCAAUGUAUGGCGCCAGUACCAGACUACAGGCUUUCUUUGGGAGCAGUACAGUGACCGCGAUGGGCGAGGCAUGGGCUGCCGCCCUUUCCACGGCUGGACCAGCCUUGUCUUACUGGCCAUGGCUGAAGACUACUGAAGGGAGGGAGAGGAGGGGAGCCAGGCUACUCAUGGCACUCUGGCUCUGGAGGGACAAAGGCUUCUGGCUUCUGCCCCCAGCCCCUCGGAUACCAGUAAUUCAAACCUUCCUUAUUUCAUCUCAGGUGUCUCCUUACUGUCAUCCCACAUAGCCCUGGGGUGAAUGUGAAUCCAGAGUCUAUUUUUCUAAAUAAAUUGGAAAAAAC
rnacentral:sRNA from 1 species